GGGCGUUUAGCUCAGCUGGUUCAGAGCAUCUGCCUUACAAGCAGAGGGUCGGCGGUUUGAAUCCGUCAACGCCCA
rnacentral:tRNA from 1 species